rnacentral:rRNA from 1 species
AGGGUUCGAUUCUGGCUCAGGAUGAACGCUGGCGGCGUGCCUAACACAUGCAAGUCGAGCGAUUACUCGGUAAAGAGCGGCGGACGGGUGAGUAACGCGUGGGUAACCUGCCUCAUACACAUGGAUAACAUACCGAAAGGUAUGCUAAUACAGGAUAAUAUAAGAGAUUCACAUGGAUUUCUUAUCAAAGCUCCGGCGGUAUGAGAUGGACCCGCGUCUGAUUAGCUAGUUGGUAAGGUAAUGGCUUACCAAGGCGACGAUCAGUAGCCGACCUGAGAGGGUGAUCGGCCACAUUGGAACUGAGACACGGUCCAAACUCCUACGGGAGGCAGCAGUGGGGAAUAUUGGACAAUGGGCGCAAGCCUGAUUCCCAGCCAUGCCGCGUGAGUGAUGAAGGCCUUAGGGUUGUAAAGCUCUUUCACCGGUGAAGAUAAUGACGGUAGCCGGAGAAGAAGCCCCGGCUAACUUCGUGCCAGCCGCCGC